rnacentral:rRNA from 1 species
GCAGCCUGAUGCAGCCAUGCCGCGUGUAUGAAGAAGGCCUUCGGGUUGUAAAGUACUUUCAGCAGUGAGGAAGGUUCAUACGUUAAUAGCGGAUGGAUUUGACGUUAGCUGCAGAAGAAGCACCGGCUAACUCCGUGCCAGCAGCCGCGGUAAU